rnacentral:tRNA from 1 species
GUUGUUUUGGCAGAGUAGUGCAUUAGAUUUAGAAUCUUAUUAUGUAAAUUAUAAUUUACAAAUAACA